rnacentral:rRNA from 1 species
GACGAACGCUGGCGGCGUGCCUAACACAUGCAAGUCGAACGGAGUGUUUAUUUAUAAACACUUAGUGGCGAACGGGUGAGUAACGCGUAGACAACCUACCCUCUAGAUGGGGACAACACCGCGAAAGUGGUGCUAAUACCGAAUGUUGUAAUGUUGUUGCAUAAUGAUACUACUAAAGGUGGCCUCUAUAUAAAAGCUACCGCUAGAAGAUGGGUCUGGGUCUGAUUAGCUAGUUGGUGAGAUAACAGCUCAGCAAGGCAAUGAUCAGUAGCCGGUCUGAGAGGAUGAACGGCCACACUGGGACUGAGACACGGCCCAGACUCCUACGGGAGGCAGCAGUGGGGAAUCUUCCGCAAUGGACGAAAGUCUGACGGAGCAACGCCGCGUGAGUGAAGAAGGUUUUCGGAUCGUAAAGCUCUGUCUUCAAGGACGAAUGUAGAUAUUGUGAAUAAUGAUAUUUAAUGACGGUACUUGAGGAGGAAGCCACGGCUAACUACGUGCCAGCAGCCGCAGUAAAAC